rnacentral:rRNA from 1 species
UACGUAGGUGGCAAGCGUCGUCCGGAUUUACUGGGUGUAAAGGGCGCGUAGGCGGGAUUACAAGUCAGGUGUGAAAUUUAUGGGCUCAACCCAUAAACUGCAUUUGAAACUGUAGUUCUUGAGUGAUGGAGAGGCAGGCGGAAUUCCUAGUGUAGCGGUGAAAUGCGUAGAUAUUAGGAGGAACACCAGUGGCGAAGGCGGCCUGCUGGACAUUAACUGACGCUGAUGCGCGAAAGCGUGGGGAGCAAAC